CCUACGGGAGGCAGCAGUAGGGAAUAUUGGUCAAUGGGUGCGAGCCUGAACCAGCCAUGCCGCGUGCAGGAAGAAGGCCUUCUGGGUUGUAAACUGCUUUUGUCAGGGGAUAAAAUUUCCUUGCGAGGAAGAUUGAAGGUACCUGGCGAAUAAGCCACGGCUAACUACGUGCCAGCAGCCGCGGUAAUACGUAGGUGGCAAGCGUUGUCCGGAUUUAUUGGGUUUAAAGGGUGCGUAGGUGGUCUAUUAAGUCAGUGCUGAAAUAUCCCGGCUUAACCGGGAGGGUGGCAUUGAUACUGAUGGACUUGAGUAAAGUUGAGGUGGGCGGAAUUGACGGUGUAGCGGUGAAAUGCUUAGAUAUCGUCAAGAACACCUAUUGCGAAGGCAGCUCACUAAGCUUUAACUGACACUGAGGCACGAAAGUGUGGGGAUCAAACAGGAUUAGAUACCCUGGUAGUCCACACUGUAAACGUUGAUUACUCGCUGUUGGCGAUACACAGCCAGCGGCUUAGCGAAAGCGAUAAGUAAUCCACCUGGGGAGUACGCCGGCAACGGUGAAACUCAAAGGAAUUGACGG
rnacentral:rRNA from 1 species